AUCCAGCUGACGAGUCCUAAAUAGGACGAAAGGUGCGUCCUGGAU
rnacentral:hammerhead_ribozyme from 1 species